AACGAACGCUGGCGGCGUGCUUAACACAUGCAAGUUGAACGGGGCAUAUUUGAAGGGUAACCGGAGGGUAUGUCUAGUGGCGAACGGGUGAGUAAUGCAUGAGAACGUAUCCUCAAGAGGGGGACAACAUUGGGAAACCGAUGCUAAUACCCCAUAAGCCGGGAGGUAAAAGGAGCAAUCCGCUUGAGGAGCGGUUCAUGUCCUAUCAGCUGGUUGGUGAGGUAACGGCUCACCAAGGCGAAGACGGGUAGCCGGCCUGAGAGGGUGAACGGCCACACUGGAACUGAGAGAAGGUCCAGACUCCUACGGGAGGCAGCAGUGGGGAAUAUUGGGCAAUGGGGGAAACCCUGACCCAGCGACGCCGCGUGAGGGAAGAAGGCCUUAGGGUCGUAAACCUCUGUUGUGUGGGAAGAAGAGCGUGACGGUACCACACGAGGAAGUCCCGGCAAACUACGUGCCAGCCGCCGCAGUAAAAC
rnacentral:rRNA from 1 species